CACCCUUCAGGUGCGACCGCUUUACCUAUGGCUUGACGGGAAGAUUCAAAAUCGCGAACCGUUACUGCAUGGAUUACUCUCGGGCUCUUUGUUUGCUCCUCGACAUUACGAGGUCAUGUACACUGUGGUCAACUUUGUGGACGAUGAAGAGGUUUCUGGGUAAAGAUGAUAGAAAUAUAACGAAGUAACAGUGAAAGCUAAAACAUCAGACUGAUCUAGACACUGAAGAAAUUGAUGUCACUGCAAUCUGGCCAAAAUGAUACAACUAUAUUGAAGUAGCCUACUGUAAUGAAGCUGCAGAACAACACAGAGACUCUGAGGACAUCAACACAGAAAAUGAAGGCUCCAAAGAGAUGUCUGUCCAGAUGAGGGUGCAUCAACUUUACCUUUGCUGACAACAGUUAACUUAACUCAAACCAUUUAAGGAAAUCGGUUGCCUUAAACCCUUAAGUUUUAAAAAACAUACAUUUGAGUACUGUGAACUUAAGUCUUGUGCAAUUAUGCACUUAUAUUUAGGUAGUGUGAACUUAAAUAUAAGUGCAUAACUGCAUGUGACUCAAUUUUUUUAAGUUCACAGUACUCAAAUCUAUGUGUUUUAAAACUUGAAUGGUUUAAUGCAACCGGUUUUCUUAAAUGUGAGAAAGCUAUUGAAUCUACACUGCAAAAAAUCACUUUCUAGUAGAAAAACUAAAAAUUCUUAAAUCAAGAUGUAUUUUCUUGAUGAGCAAAAUUACCUUAGAAAAUAUGUGUAGUUUUUAGACAAAAAUAUACAAUUUAAGUAAAUUUGUGCCUAAACAAGCAAAAAUAUCUCAACAGUGGAGUGAGAAAAUUGUGCUUAAAUUAAGUUUUUAUGAAAAAAGAAAACUUAAGAUUUUUUUCUCACACCAUUGGCAGAUAUUUUUGCUUGUUUUAAGCACAAAUUCACUUAAAGUGUGUGUGUGUUUAUUUAUUUUGUCUAAAACUAGACUUAUUUUCUUAGGUCAUUUUGUUCAUCAAGAAAAAGCAUUUUAAUUUAAAUAAUAUUUCUACUGAAAACAAGACAAUAAUACUAUGUAAGAGUCAUUUUUUGCAGUGUAGGACUGAUUUCUUAAAGCAAGAUCAAUAUAGUUGUUGUUCAUUUUAUUUAGAUAUUUACUACAUUACAGUGGCAGCUGGGGACUUGUUUUUUGUGAGCACUUGAUGCGAAGUUUGUCACAACAUGUAUACAGCCCGUCAUUUGUGUGGUUCCCAAUUUCAAAAUAUGUGUUCUGCGUGUCGAGUGCGUGUAUGUGUAUCACGUGUUUUGACUAAACACGUGAUGCACAUGGUUUACAUGAAGCAACAAAAACAUUUUAAAAACACAAGCAACACACAUGACACUCCGAACACUUAUUUUGAAUUUGCAACCGCCACUGCUACAUUACAUUGUACUGCUUUGAAUGUAGUUUUCAUUGUUGCUUUUAUUUUGUUUUAUUUUACUCUAAUAUUGCUUUCUCUGUCUGUAUAUUUAUAAGUUUAAAUAGUAUUGUUUAUGUAUGCAACUUCUAAUAUUUAUGUGUAAUAUUAUUUUGUGAUUGUGACAAUUGUGGAUUGUUCAGUUUUUUAUUAAA